rnacentral:rRNA from 1 species
AGUGAACGCUGGCGGUAGGCCUAACACAUGCAAGUCGAACGGCAGCACAGUAAGAGCUUGCUCUUACGGGUGGCGAGUGGCGGACGGGUGAGGAAUACAUCGGAAUCUACUUUUUCGUGGGGGAUAACGUAGGGAGACUUACGCUAAUACCGCAUACGACCUACGGGUGAAAGCAGGGGAUCUUCGGACCUUGCGCGAUUGAAUGAGCCGAUGUCGGAUUAGCUAGUUGGCGGGGUAAAGGCCCACCAAGGCGACGAUCCGUAGCUGGUCUGAGAGGAUGAUCAGCCACACUGGAACUGAGACACGGUCCAGAAUCCUACGGGAGGCAGCAGUGGGGAAUAUUGGACAAUGGGCGCAAGCCUGAUCCAGCCAUACCGCGUGGGUGAAGAAGGCCUUCGGGUUGUAAAGCCCUUUUGUUGGGAAAGAAAAGCAGCAGGUUAAUACCCCGCUGUUCUGACGGUACCCAAAGAAUAAGCACCGGCUAACUUCGU